GCAACCUGGUUGAUCCUGCCAGUAGUCAUACGCUCGUCUAAAAGAUUAAGCCAUGCAUGUCUAAGUAUAAAUGCUUUAUACUGUGAAACUGCGAAUGGCUCAUUAUAUCAGUUAUAGUUUAUUUGAUAGUACCUUACUACAUGGAUAACUGUGGUAAUUCUAGAGCUAAUACAUGCUGUACGGCCCGACCUUAU
rnacentral:rRNA from 1 species